UACGAAGGGGGCUAGCGUUGUUCGGAAUUACUGGGCGUAAAGCGCAUGUAGGCGGUUUUUUAAGUCAGAUGUGAAAGCCCCGGGCUCAACCUGGGAAUUGCAUUUGAAACUGGGGAACUAGAGUGUGUGAGAGGGGGGUAGAAUUCCAAGUGUAGCGGUGAAAUGCGUAGAGAUUUGGAGGAAUACCAGUGGCGAAGGCGGCCCCCUGGCACAACACUGACGCUCAGGUGCGAAAGCGUGGGGAGCAAACAGG
rnacentral:rRNA from 1 species